CCUCAAUGGAUGACAAACAAGUUUAGGGCCUGAUCUCUGUGCUAGGCUGGGUGAGUGUAGAAGCUGAGCCUCCACAGUCCUUUACGGAGAAAAGGAGAAGAUGCCAUUUUCUGCUUGUCUCACAUCUCCAGGGUAGCAGUGGGACGGAAGUUCCAGGACGAGACAAGAGACCAGCUUGGUAUGGAAGUCUAUGGCAGCUGACAAACUGGGAAAAAAUGCUAGAAACUUGGCUGGCUAAUCUGGAUAUUUCUAUCCCUUCAUCAUGAGAAUUAACUGUGCAUUUCUCAAGAGUUUUGCACUGAGGAUAAAGUAGUUUUUGUUGGAUACUGCCAGUUCUCUAAGAGCUCAAUUUGCAAAGCUAUGUUUUAUUCCUUUGACCUGUAGUCCUGAUCCAUGAUGAUAUUUGCUAUGACAGUUUCCUUUUUGCUGGGUUCUGUCACAUAAAUCGAGUUACUCCACCAAAAAUAAACAAAGUUUUUUUUUUUUCUCAGAGAGAGAGGAAAACAAUUAAUUUGCAAAAGUUUUAUGAAUAAUAAUAUUUUAAACUUCCUGAACCUUUUUUCUUUGGCUUGGUGUGAAGUCUUUUGUAAUAUUGCUGUGGCUGAAUUUUAAAAACACGUCAUCAUCCGUGACUAAAUCUCUUUUAGCCUUCACUUUUUAUUACAGAAUUCACCCACUCCUGUCUUAACAAGGUACAGAAUCUUCAGUAAGUGACCCAAAUGUAGCACGGUAGUCAAACUCGCUACAUAAUCACGUGAACUAUUAUGUCACUAAGAUACGCUGGUAUAACCAUUACUAGAAAGAAAUCCCUAACCAGAACCCUGUGGUGUUGUUUGGUUU